rnacentral:lncRNA from 1 species
UUGAGGGGUGGAGGUGAUACAGGAUCACCGCCACGUAGGAUCACUGUGGUGCAACCAAACGCGGUGAUCUCAUCACCUCUACCCACAUCACCCUUGAUCCUGGGAUGAUCACCCCAUACCAAACGCCCCCUAAGUGUGUUUGGUGGGUUGCUGCAUCCCUCGACAUGUAUUUUAUGUUGGGGAGUGGCAUUACCUCUCCCAAGACCCCGGAUUGCCGAGACCAUAACUAGGUAUUUUUAUAUUGGGUAUUUUUAUGUUGGGUGCGAUAACUAGGUAUUCAAGAUUCAUGAUCUUAGACUAUUGAAAACCAAUUUUUGUUCAAAUUAUAUUUAAAGGGCAUUAAAAACUGAUUAACAAAUCCUAAUAGAAUUCUAAACUAGGACAGAGAAUAAAGGAGGGAUGGGGAAAAACAUAUAUUCGAUAGGAUAUUACUAUUGACAGCGAAAGAUCUUUACCUUCCAACACACACACAAUCUCAUAUGGCACCUCACCCGGAUCUGAACUUAAUGAUGCUACAACAUGCUCCAAUCCUGAAAAUAGCAUACGUGCCAUUUUGAUCUUCACUUACUCAUCAUGUUCAGUAUUUAAUCUUCCAAACCUCAGUAGAGUGAAUUCUUUAUUAUUAGCAUGUCAAAUCAUUCUGUUAGGUGGGUUCUUGAGUGUUAAUGUAUUACAACGGGAUGUUUAGAGCAAAUGAAACAGCAGUAUGCAACUGAAACCCACCAUGUCUUUUGUUUUUGAAAGCAGUUAAUAUAAAUACAUAAUCCUUGAACAAUGGAAUUCAAAAACAGGGUUCACAUCCAUAACAACAUAUAUUAAUGACAAUAGAAAAUUCACAUACAUGAAAAAUAAGGUGCUUACCUCAUAGAUGGAAAUAUCGGGGCAGUCCAUUAGUCGGACUUUUUCAUGGCUUUCAACUGGAGGAUUCCAUUUCAUGACGACCAACAAUGAAAAGGUCUGACCACCAGACUAGAUGUGAAAACUUAAGGAUGACCUCAAACAAAUAUGUCUGACAUGCUAGAGAAUAGGGCUAAUUUCUGCCUUCUCUCCAUCAUAACUACUUCCUCAUGCCAAUCUAGACCAGAGAACAAUUCUAUUCUUCACUUCUUCAAUAACACAAUAAUAGGCAGAUUCACCUCAAGUGGCAAAAAAGUGCCAUGCGAUCAGUUAACGAAUUUUUGUACCUGUCAUACUGUUAAAUCUUCCAUGCUGUGAGACAAUAUAUUCUUUGCCUCCUCUGCUCCAGUGGUUUUUGUUCUUUGACAUAAAGGUCUUGAAGAGCUUCUCAAGUUUAGCAUCAGCAGGAAAACCCCUAGAUAUCAUUUCAUUGUAAAAUUCUAAGGCUUUUGGAAUCCAGCCACGUGAUACCAGCCCUUGUACCAAUGCCAUAUAGUGGGUAGAGCCGGGAACAACAUUGUACUUCUUCAUUUCACUCCACAUUCUCAAUGCACUGUCAGAUUUAUCGAGGCUGAAAAACUUAUCAAAAAGUAGGAGGAAAGUAUAUCCAUUAGGGCCGCAACCAACAAUUUUCAUUUUAUUCAUCAUCUUUAAAGUUCCUUCUACAUCCUCUGCCUUUAUGAACGCAUGGUAAGUAUCAAUGUUCGGGUGAAAACCUUUCGCCAUCAUUUCAUCCAGAAACCGUCGAGCUUCCUCUAGCUUGUAUGCUUCACAUAAUGGAUAUAUCAUAGAGUUGUAUGUUUCAGCAUUUGGUUGCAGACCAGCCUCUGUAAUUCUUUCAAAGAUAUUGUUCGCAUCCUUUAAGCAAUUUUCUUUUGUCAGCACAUAGAUAAGGGAAUUGUAGACCAGAAGAUCAGGAACCCAACCUCUCUUCUUCAUUUCAUCAUAAAGCCUUAAAGAAUCAAAGAGGUUCCCAACUUUUGAAAAGCAACGAAUCAUAUGGGAGUAACUAGUACCGUCCGGUGUAAUACAACAAUUUGACAUUUCUCUCCAUACUCUUUUUGCUUCUACCACGUCACCAAUGAUAUUGCACCAGCCAUCCAGAACUACAUUAAAGUUGUCAGCUUUAAGUGGAUAAAAUUUCCGAUUAAGAAGAAGAAAUUCCUCAGCCUCCUCAACAUUCAUGUUCUUGCAAAGAGCAUGAAGAAGGGCAUAAUAUGCUGCUGAAUCUGCAUCUAUUUUGAAUGUCUCCAUGGCAUGGAAUGUUUUUAUUGCUUUUCUAGCUUCAUUUGCAGCCGCAUACCUGCAAAUUCAUAGGAAAAUUUGGUAAAAAUCAAUUCAUAUGUGGUUAAAGGUAUCCAUAAAAAUGUGCUGAUAAACUAUAGUAUAUAAGGCUCCAUAAUUACAUAUUUAUUGCACCUCGGUGAAGGGAAAAGAGUAGAAAUAUAACACUCCAGUCAAAGCAUUUAACAAUUUGUUUCAAUAAGGGAAGAAAGGGCUCCCAUGUUUUGCAAUGGUACAGACAUGUAGAAAUGAGGGGAUUUUGGCCUUUUCAGUUGUGAACUUUCAGUGCAAUGAUAGCAUUGUUUUCUUGCAAUAAGAAUCCAUGUCAAAUCAAAUGGUACCAACGAACAUCUAACUACAUUGACUAGAAACAUGAAAGCAUUCUUGUCCACUUCAUAUAGGAUCAAAAUACUUAAUGACACAUCUCUAAAUAUGUGUCUACACAUGUAUAGAAAGAUAUAUGUCCCUUGAGAUGUAUGCAAAAAAGCAUCGAAAAAGCACAAUGCACAAAAACUACAAACUUCAUUGUUUAUGUUAUAAUUCAAAUUCAUAGACCUCAUUACAUUCUCCAUAUAGUAAUAUCAGUAUCACAUAUUUUAGAAUUAAGAAUCCAUCAUUUCAGUCAUUAGAAGGGAAGCCUUUCUUCUCAUCCCUAAACAAAUUCAAGAAGUAUCCUGGAUAUGUCCAAUAAUUAUCUUUUUUUUUUCAAAAGAAAAAAGGAUUCUUAAAAUUAGUAUCCAACACAUAUCCUAGGCACAACCUUGGUGCACAUCACCAUCUUAUAUUCAUCAGCUAUUGCAUACAAUCUAAAGUAUCCAUUUAAUCUACUCAAGGAACAAGUAUGGGAAUAGAUGCACUGCCUAUUUGGGGUAUCAAACCAAAUAUUGAAGUAUAUGCACUUUAGGUUGGGGCAUUAAGGCACACAUCUUACCAUUAAGUACCUUUUUUUUGGAAGUAGGACCACUUAGGGAUGACGGCAUAAAAAGCACAUGAAUGAUUAAGUGAACCUUGGGAAUGGUAACCUUGGAUGUGCAAAACAGCAUAUGAUGCAGCCAGUGGCAAGGUAAACCAGCUGACAGAGCUAGUAGUAGUGAAGUUAGCAGGCUGGCAAAGUCGAAUAGCAAGAAUGUAGGCUAACAAAUAAGGAAUUGGUUGGAAGAAUGAUGUCGAGGAUGAAAAUAUUGAGGAAGGCAAUGAUGAUAAAGAAUGCGUAACGAUAGAUAUUGAACAGGGUAGUAAUGAUAAGCUAAUCGCUUGGCGAAAGUCUGAAGAUGAGGAAAGCGCACUUCAAAACAGGUUUUGGCACUAAGAGUUAAUUGACAUCAGUGGAUGAAGCUGAUCUUGAAGUUGUAUAGAUUUAUGGAACGAGAUGAAACCAACCUUCAAGCAGCAAGGGUUAUAGGUAGCGAGACAAAGGAUGUUGUUAGAGGUGCUUCAGUACAUUGUGCAAUAUGAUGAAAGAAGAAAUGGAAAUUUCCUAAGUUCAAGGCACCUAAUAGACAAAUACACCAAUGUCAGUCGGAUCGAGACUUGGAAAACUGAAAUUAGAGCUUAAGAACUCAAUCCUCUACGAUCUUCGAAGCCUCUUCUGCUUUAAUUCAGAACCCUUACAAAUACUCUAACUCUCUAUCUCAUGAAAUAAAAGAAAAACAACAAAGCUGCCUUAAUGCAAAACCAAAACCCAGUAGAAGGGAGCUAAAUUUAGCUAAUGAGCAAUCUACAUUAGCGAAAAGAGAUAAAGUUAUCACC